AAAAUUAUAAAUUCAAUCAUUAAAAUUUAUUAAUAUUUCAAAUAAAAAUACAAUUUUUUGCUUAUUUAUACCUUUUGUAUAAGGAAAAAUUUAAAUUAAAGAUAAAUAUUUAUAAUCUCGAAAAUUAAUUAAAAUAAAAUUUAUUUAAAUUGUUGAAUUAUAAUAGUUUUAUUUAUGUUAUAUAAAGCAAUAAUUUAACUAGUUAUUUUAAAAAUUAUUUUAGUAAAGCUAAAACAUUUAACCUUUAAAAUUUAAUUAAAUUUAAAUUUUAAAUUAAUUUAAUUAUUUAUAAAAAAAAAUAAAAAAAUUAAGUUUUUUUUAAAAAUAAAAUAAUUAUUUUAAAAAAUAAAAUAAUUUUAUUAGUAGAUUAAAAAAAACGAAUAAUUUAAUAAAUAAUUUAAUUAAAAAAAAAAACUUUAUUUUAAAUUAAAUUUUUUAAUUUUUAACAAAAUAUCAUUAACAAAUCUUUGUUAUAAAUUCUGCUCAAUGAUAAAUUAAAUAGCCGAAUUAUCGCUAAGGUAGCAUAAUCACUUGUUUUUUAAUUAGAAACUUGAAUGAAAGGAUAAAAAAAAAUUUAAAUUAAAUGUUUAUUUAAAAUUGAAAUUUUAUUAUUAAUGAAAAUAUUAAUACUUUUUUUUAGACGGAAAGACCCUAAGAAUCUUUCUUUUAAAAAAGUUUUUUGGGAGAAAAAUUAAUUUUAUUAUUAAAUAAUUUUUUGAAAAGAACUUUUAAUUAGAUUAAAUAAAAAGAUACUCUAGGGAUAACAGGAUAAAAUUUAAUUAAAGAACAAAUUUAUUAAAAAAUUAUUACCUCGAUGUUGGUUUUAUAAAACUAAAAAUUGCAAUAAAUUUUUUUAGUUAGUCUGUUCGACUAUAAAAAUAUAACUUGAACUGAGUUCAAAUCGGUGAAAACCAGAUUGGAUCUUAUCUAAAAAAAAUAAAAUUAAGAAUAGUACGAAAGGAAAAUCUUAAAAAUAAUAUAUU
rnacentral:rRNA from 1 species